CAGCAGCCGCGGGAAUACGUAGGGUGCAAGCGUUAAUCGGAAUUACUGGGCGUAAAGCGUGCGCGGGCGGUCUGUUAAGACAGAUGUGAAAUCCCCGGGCUCAACCUGGGAACUGCAUCUGUGACUGGCAAGCUAGAGUAUGGCAGAGUGGGGUGGAAUUCCGCGUGUAGCAGUGAAAUGCGUAGAUAUGCGGAGGAACACCGAUGGCGAAGGCAGCCCCCUGGGCCAAUACUGACGCUCAUGCACGGAAGCGUGGGGAGCAAACAGGAUUAGAUACCCGUGUAGUCCCUGUCUCUUAUAC
rnacentral:rRNA from 1 species